rnacentral:snoRNA from 1 species
UUGAAGCCAAUUAAACCAACCAGGUUCCUCUCCUCACGGGACCUAGUGUGAAAUGGUUGCUGCAAACAGCAGCCUCUUUGGGAAUGUGUGCAGCCUGUUACCUAUAUGAGUUGCCCCAAGGGACCUUGGAGACAAUU